AGAGUUUGAUCCUGGCUCAGGAUGAACGCUGGCGGCGUGCUUAACACAUGCAAGUCGAACGAAGCACUUUAUUUGAUUUCUUCGGAAUGAAGAUUUUGUGACUGAGUGGCGGACGGGUGAGUAACGCGUGGGUAACCUGCCUCAUACAGGGGGAUAACAGUUGGAAACGACUGCUAAUACCGCAUAAGCGCACAGGGUCGCAUGACCUGGUGUGAAAAACUCCGGUGGUAUGAGAUGGACCCGCGUCUGAUUAGCCAGUUGGUGGGGUAACGGCCUACCAAAGCGACGAUCAGUAGCCGACCUGAGAGGGUGACCGGCCACAUUGGGACUGAGACACGGCCCAAACUCCUACGGGAGGCAGCAGUGGGGAAUAUUGCACAAUCGGGGAAACCCUGAUGCAGCGACGCCGCGUGAGCGAAGAAGUAUUUCGGUAUGUAAGCUCUAUCAGCAGGGAAGAAGAAAUGACGGUACCUGACUAAGAAGCACCGGCUAAAUACGUGCCAGCAGCCGCGGUAAUACGUAUGGUGCAAGCGUUAUCCGGAUUUACUGGGUGUAAAGGGAGCGCAGGCGGUACGGCAAGUCUGAUGUGAAAGCCCGGGGCUCAACCCCGGUACUGCAUUGGAAACUGUCGGACUAGAGUGUCGGAGGGGUAAGUGGAAUUCCUAGUGUAGCGGUGAAAUGCGUAGAUAUUAGGAGGAACACCAGUGGCGAAGGCGGCUUACUGGACGAUUACUGACGCUGAGGCUCGAAAGCGUGGGGAGCAAACAGGAGUAGAUACCCUGGUAGUCCACGCUGUAAACGAUGAAUACUAGGUGUCGGGGAGCAUUGCUCUUCGGUGCCGCAGCAAACGCAAUAAGUAUUCCACCUGGGGAGUACGUUCGCAAGAAUGAAACUCAAAGGAAUUGGCGGGGACCCGCACAAGCGGUGGAGCAUGUGGUUUAAUUCGAAGCAACGCGAAGAACCUUACCAAGUCUUGACAUCCCGAUGACAGAACAUGUAAUGUGUUUUCUCUUCGGAGCAUCGGUGACAGGUGGUGCAUGGUUGUCGUCAGCUCGUGUCGUGAGAUGUUGGGUUAAGUCCCGCAACGAGCGCAACCCCUAUUCUUAGUAGCCAGCGGUUCGGCCGGGCACUCUAGGGAGACUGCCAGGGAUAACCUGGAGGAAGGUGGGGAUGACGUCAAAUCAUCAUGCCCCUUAUGACUUGGGCUACACACGUGCUACAAUGGCGUAAACAAAGGGAAGCGAGCCUGCGAGGGGGAGCAAAUCUCAAAAAUAACGUCUCAGUUCGGACUGCAGUCUGCAACUCGACUGCACGAAGCUGGAAUCGCUAGUAAUCGCGAAUCAGAACGUCGCGGUGAAUACGUUCCCGGGUCUUGUACACACCGCCCGUCACACCAUGGGAGUUGGUAAUGCCCGAAGUCAGUGACCUAACCGCAAGGAGGGAGCUGCCGAAGGCAGGAUCGAUAACUGGAGUGAA
rnacentral:rRNA from 1 species